ensembl:lncRNA
AAGAGCUGGAGGACCUUUGAAGAAAGCAUAACAAAAAGGGAAGACUUUGGACACAGGUUAGAGAAGACCAGAGAGACACCAGAGAACACAGCAAGACACAAAGUAAAAUAGAAUAUUUGUUUUGUCCUUGAUAAUCCUUGUGGGCCCCUUCCAACUUGGCAUAUUCUCUGAUUCUGUGAAUUUAGGUCAUUCACAGGGAGGCCGAUACAGGUCUGUGAAAAAGUCUGUUGCCACCAGUAGUGUUGAUCCUUCUACACAAAAAAACUUCUAAGGAGCAAGCCUCCAGGGGCAUAUUGUAAAAGGAGUCUUUGUCUUGCAUGGUUUUAUGUUGGCAUUCAGUUUUGUUAUGUGGUAUUAGAUGUGAGUAUGCUUAUUUAAUGUUUAGGAUAGCAGUGCUUUAUUUCUAUGGACAUAUUCUGUGAAAAGGGGUGUUCCUUGUCUUUUGUCUAAAUAUUGGACACGUUUUUUGCUUGUUUGUUUGCUUUUGUUUGGUUUGGUUUUAGUUGUUUUGUUGUUGUUGCUUUCUAAUUCUUUUAUGCAACCUGGAAAUAAAACCAACUGUGUCACUUUACUAUUAAAAGCAUCUAGGUAGUAUGCUAUACAAGAUCAAAGAAUGUUUGUGAAUAAAGUAUUAGUCUCUUCUGCAGUGAUGAGAAUACUUAUAGACUUCAAGGUAGCAAGAGACAAGCGGUGGUGUCAGCAAGUGACCAAAUUGUAUGUUUUGUGGUCUUUACAAAUUGACAUGCAGAGCCAAAAUAUCACAAGCUGAAAUAAUGAAUAACCAAGAGGCUGAUGUUCUGCGUUGCUGGAGUUGUAGAAAAUACAUAGCAAAUUCUGUUUGCCUUGCCAAAUGCAAUGGAAAAGAACUAUCUGAAACAUCACAAACUUCAGCUGCUGCUCAGGACUCUUGCAGUGUGAAUUUAGAUGCCAUUCCAGAGUAGGUGAAAUGUGUCAUUGAAAAGGUAGAUUUUUUUUUUCUUGCAUCUUUACAUUCAAAAUGUGAAAUAACUAAGGGGAACAAGUUUCAAGAACACUUUUCUGCCAAGGUCUAUUGUAUGUUACAGACAUCUUAUAGCUGAGGGAAUUCUUCUCAGUAACUUCUAUCACUACCAUUUACAGAUUUUUUUUCCUCCCUCUUAAAUGCUGAUUUCUUUUGUUUUGUUUUUAAUGUAUGCAGAAAUGCUACAAGUGAUAAAUUCUGUUUCCUGCUCCUUUAUAGAUGAGUGUAUUGUUUGUCCAAAAAAUUGUCAUGGGCACCUCUGCUUAUUUGUCAAUGCUUAAUAUUAUAUUUAUUAUCUAGGUUUUGUGGUUUGCUUUGUCUUGCUCGCUAUAUCUUGUAAUACUAACAUAUAUCUUGACAGUGACAGUAAUGAAGCAGAGCAAGGCCUGAGAAACGAAUGUGAUAUUAGCAGAACGAGAAUUAGAGAGUUAAUUUAGAAUCCAUGCUUUGAGCAAAAGCAUAGAGAACUAAGUCUUAGGAACAGCAGAGAUAAUAACUCAUUAAGGAAUGCAGGACACUGACACAAAGGGCAUAAAGUAAGUACACAGGGAAACAGAGAGAACCAAAGAUGCUAACAUGCACAUAAAAUAGGCAUAUGGAGGGGAGACAGAGGAAGAUAAGGAAACAGAGAUGAGCCAAGACCUAGGUACUCUUGCCAAAUAUCAGGAACUUCUGCCAAAUGCACAAGGAAACCAUCCAAAGUAGGGAAAGGUCAAAAGUUUAUGGCAAUGAAGAGGAGGAAAAAGACCCUUCAGGAGGCCAAAGAACAGGAACUACCACCAUGUUUCUCCCCGGAUUGAAGACCACGCUCCUAACUCCAUCUUAACUCCUCCUGUUAUGACUGUUAAAACUAGAUGUUGCAAUAUUAUAAAUAUUCAUGAAUAAUGAUGCAAUUGCUUAGCAAAAAUUGUAUAAAAGGAUCCAGAUGUUCACUACUACUUUGGAGCUCUUUUGUCCAGUGUGAGCUGGGAGCCUCCCCAAUGUUGUAUUGCAAUAAAUGCCUCGCUACUCAAAGACCUAAACUCUGU